ACCUAGCCCUGAUAAUAGCGAUAUCCUUUCCUUAUCUCGUUUUUUAGAACGAGAUAAGGAAAGAUUUAGCGGAUAGCAGGAAACAGC
rfam:Flavobacterium fryxellicola strain DSM 16209 FBFR44, whole genome shotgun sequence.